GACGAACGCUGGCGGCGUGCUUAACACAUGCAAGUCGAGCGGUAAGGCCCUUUCGGGGGUACGACGAGCGGCGAACGGGUGAGUAACACGUGGGUGACCUGCCCUCAGCUCUGGGAUAGGCCUGGGAAACCGGGGUCUAAUACUGGAUAUGACUCCAUGACGCAUGUUGUGGGGUGGAAAGCCUUGUGCGGCUGAGGAUGGGCCCGCGGCCUAUCAGCUUGUUGGUGGGGUGAUGGCCUACCAAGGCGACGACGGGUAGCCGGCCUGAGAGGGCGACCGGCCACACUGGGACUGAGACACGGCCCAGACUCCUACGGGAGGCAGCAGUGGGGAAUCUUGCGCAAUGGGCGAAAGCCUGACGCAGCGACGCCGCGUGAGGGAUGACGGCCU
rnacentral:rRNA from 1 species